rnacentral:rRNA from 1 species
AUUGAACGCUGGCGGCGUGCUUAACACAUGCAAGUCGAUCGGUAACGCGGGGGCAACCCUGGCGACGAGAGGCGGACGGGUGAGGAACGCUUGGGAAUCUGCCUAUCAGCGGGGGACAACACGGGGAAACUCGUGCUAAUACCGCAUACGCUCUACGGGGGAAAGCCGGGGACCGCAAGGCCUGGCCCUGACAGAUGAGCCCAAGCCGGAUUAGCUAGUUGGCGGGGUAAGGGCCCACCAAGGCGACGAUCAGUAGCUGGUCUGAGAGGACGACCAGCCACACUGGGACUGAGACACGGCCCAGACUCCUACGGGAGGCAGCAGUGGGGAAUAUUGGACAAUGGGGGAAACCCUGAUCCAGCGACGCCGCGUGGGUGAAGAAGGCCUGCGGGUUGUAAAGCCCUUUCGGUAGGGACGAAAGCUCUCGACCUAACACGUCGGGAGGUUGACUUAGCCUACAAAAGAAGCACCGGCUAACUCUGUGCCAGCCGCCGCAGUAACAC